rnacentral:rRNA from 1 species
UACGAGGGGGGCGAGCGUUGUUCGGAAUUAUUGGGCGUAAAGGGUGCGUAGGCGGUUUGGUAAGUCUUAUGUGAAAUCUACAGGCUCAACUUGUAGUCUGCAUGAGAAACUGCCGGGCUUGAGUGUGGGAGAGGUGAGUGGAAUUCCUGGUGUAGCGGUGAAAUGCGUAGAUAUCAGGAGGAACACCUGUGGCGAAAGCGGCUCACUGGACCAUAACUGACGCUGAUGCACGAAAGCUAGGGGGAGCAAACAGG